GUAUGCAUAUUCACAUUAGCAUCCUCUCUGCAUGGAAAAUUUGAAGAACAUUCUCCACAUUGAUGAGCAAUUAUUAGAGAACAUCAGUUUUGAGGGAAGAAAGAAAGUCAUAAACAACUGGGAUGGCAGGACGAAGGUUUCACCUCUUUGACUGGAGGAGGAACCUCCAAUUUACUUGUGCGGCAGUCCAGUGUUCCCCCUGUCAUCAUGAGCAUCAGCUCGGUCAUGGCCAGCUGGUUACUGUAGCCCAGGUCAAGAUCAAUAGCCCAUACCUAUAUACAACCCAGUGUACACAGAGACAAGAGAUCCAACACAUGAAUCAACACAAGUUAUUUUCAGCCUACAGAAAAAAAAAUAAAACACCUGUCAUUGCUGUUCAUUUAAAAUAGGAAAGAUGCACCAAUUACUGUUUAAAACAUGUUACAACGAUAGCUUAGUUUAUUAUCAUUAGCUAUUACACGACUCUCUACUUGAUUCUAAAUGGUCAAUUACAGCACUCUGCAGUAAAAUAUUUUUGUAUUAAGAUUGCUAAACUGUUUUGAUUAUUGAUUAUUGUACAGUUGUGCUUGUUCAAUGUCUCUCGUAUAAAUCAGUGGCCUUUUUCAAUUCACAUAAUAAAAUAAUUUCAAAAUGUCAUGUCCAUUAAAUUAUUUGGUUAGUAGCUGUGUAAUAAGCAAG